AUUAAUAAGCGGAGGAAAAGAAACUAACAAGGAUUCCCUCAGUAACGGCGAGUGAAGCGGGAAGAGCUCAAAUUUGAAAUCUCCGAUGCUUGCAUCGGCGAGUUGUAGUUGCGAGAAGCACUUUCUAGGCGGAUCGACGGUGCCUAAGUUGCUUGGAACGGCACGUCGCAGAGGGUGACAACCCCGUCUGUGGCGCCGCCGGCCGCCGACGAUGUGCUUUCGAAGAGUCGGGUUGUUUGGGAAUGCAGCCCAAAACGGGUGGUAAACUCCAUCUAAAGCUAAAUACUGGCGUGAGACCGAUAGCGAACAAGUACCGUGAGGGAAAGAUGAAAAGAACUUUGAAAAGAGAGUUAAAAAGUACGUGAAACCGUCGAAAGGGAAACGAAUGGACUCAGCAAUGCGCCCUCUGAGAUUCAGCCGGUGGGUGGCGGCGGCGCCGGGUUUGCGGAUCUGAAUGGACCGCGGCCUGGCGCCCGCCUCUCCCCGCCGUCGCACUUCUCUGGGGCGCGCGUCAACGUGGGUUGGGACUGGGUCUGAAAGGCGCCGGGAAGGUAGGUGUGGGCCUUCGGGUCCGUUCUGUUACAGCCCGGUUCUCUCAUGGCUCGGGCCCGACCGAGGAGCGACACGGGGCAUGCCUCCUGUGGCUAGGGUCCCGCCCUUCCGGCCGGCUGUCCAGUGCGGUGGACUGCUUGCAGUGCUCCGCGACGGCUGCCGGUCGUUGGGGUGGUGAUCUCGUACCAUGCCCCUAGGAUGUUGGCGGUCAUAUGGGU
rnacentral:rRNA from 1 species